AGAGUUUGAUCCUGGCUCAGAUUGAACGCUGGCGGCAUGCCUAACACAUGCAAGUCGAACGGAAACGAUGGGAGCUUGCUCCCAGGCGUCGAGUGGCGGACGGGUGAGUAAUACUUAGGAAUCUACCCAGUAGCGGGGGACAACUCGAGGAAACUCGAGCUAAUACCGCAUACGCCCUACGGGGGAAAGCAGGGGAUCUUCGGACCUUGCACUAUUGGAUGAGCCUAAGUCGGAUUAGCUUGUUGGUGAGGUAAAGGCUCACCAAGGCGACGAUCCGUAGCUGGUCUGAGAGGACGAUCAGCCACACUGGGACUGAGACACGGCCCAGACUCCUACGGGAGGCAGCAGUGGGGAAUAUUGGACAAUGGGGGCAACCCUGAUCCAGCAAUGCCGCGUGUGUGAAGAAGGCCUGCGGGUUGUAAACUCCUGUCGAUCGGGAAGAAUGCGUCCGGCCCAAUACGCCGGCACGUUGACUGUACCGGUAGAGGAAGCCACGGCUAACUCUGUGCCAGCAGCCGCGGUAAGACAGAGGUGGCAAGCGUUGUUCGGAAUUACUGGGCGUAAAGGGCGCGCAGGCGGUUCGCCAAGUCCCGUGUGAAAUCCCCCGGCUCAACUGGGGAACUGCGCGGGAAACUAGCGGACUUGAGUUCGGGAGAGGAAAGCGGAAUUCCGGGUGUAGCGGUGAAAUGCGCAGAUAUC
rnacentral:rRNA from 1 species